rnacentral:rRNA from 1 species
GAGUUUGAUCAUGGCUCAGAACGAACGCUGGCGGCAGGCCUAACACAUGCAAGUCGAGCGCGCCCUUCGGGGUGAGCGGCGGACGGGUUAGUAACGCGUGGGAAUAUACCCGACACUAAGGAAUAGCCUCUGGAAACGGAGAGUAAUACCUUAUACGCCCUUCGGGGGAAAGAUUCAUCGGUGACGGAUUAGCCCGCGUUAGAUUAGAUAGUUGGUGGGGUAAUGGCCUACCAAGUCUACGAUCUAUAGCUGGUUUUAGAGGAUGAUCAGCAACACUGGGACUGAGACACGGCCCAGACUCCUACGGGAGGCAGCAGUGGGGAAUCUUGGACAAUGGGCGCAAGCCUGAUCCAGCCAUGCCGCGUGAGUGAUGAAGGCCUUAGGGUCGUAAAGCUCUUUCGCCAGAGAUGAUAAUGACAGUAUCUGGUAAAGAAACCCCGGCUAACUCCGUGCCAGCAGCCGCGGUAAUACGGAGGGGGUUAGCGUUGUUCGGAAUUACUGGGCGUAAAGCGCGCGUAGGCGGAUUAGUAAGUUAGAGGUGAAAUCCCGGGGCUCAACCCCGGAACUGCCUUUAAUACUGCUAGUCUUGAGUUCGAGAGAGGUGAGUGGAAUUCCGAGUGUAGAGGUGAAAUUCGUAGAUAUUCGGAGGAAC